rnacentral:rRNA from 1 species
ACGUAGGGACCAAGCGUUGUUCGGAUUUACUGGGCGUAAAGGGCGCGUAGGCGGCUUAACAAGUCACUUGUGAAAUCUCCGGGCUUAACUCAGAACGGCCAAGUGAUACUGCAUUGCUAGAGUGCAGAAAGGGCAAUCGGAAUUCUUGGUGUAGCGGUGAAAUGCGUAGAUAUCAAGAGGAACACCUGAGGCGAAGGCGGGUUGCUUGUCUGACACUGACGCUGAGGCGCGAAAGCCAGGGGAGCAAACGGGA